rnacentral:lncRNA from 13 species
UCUUACUUUAUGAAAUUGCCACAGCCACCCUAGCCUUCCAUAGCCACCUCCCUGAUCGGUCAGCAGCCAUCAGCUGAUGUCAAGAGAAGGAAGCUGAACUGAACAAGGUUAAGUGACUUGGCCAAAGUCACAGGCACUAACUACGACAGCUGAAAGGAGAGUGAGAGAGAGCCAGCAGCCGAGUGCAUCCUCUGCAUCCCGGGUGGCUUCCCGUGCAAGCGUUUGCCAAGUGACUCAGAGUUUCAGAACGUUCUCUCCAGCUGUGACAAGGAGGUGCACGUGAAGUGUGCCUCCAGCCAGCCCCAUAUGUCCAG